rnacentral:ncRNA from 1 species
UUACUGUUUGAAUCUAGCCAUCAAUUGAUUUUUCCUUAAUUAAUACAUACAAGCACAUGCGCACCCGUGAGGAAGCGGAAUAAUAUAAAUAUAUUUAAUAUAUACUAUUAAAACUUAUUACUUGCAAGAAAUAAAGACUUCUACAUAAAUAUAAACUUCUCACGCCUGUAGUAGCUAAACCUGUUAAAACUGCGAAAGCAAGAUUCGGAUAAAGGAAAAUGGGCCGGUUAAAUCUGUGCCAGCUACCGCGGUUAAACAGCAGCGCCCAAAUCAAUUAAUUUCGGUACAAGCGACUAAUACAUAUAAUAAGAUACUAUAAACGAUCUAUAUCAGGGGUAAAAUCUGACCAAUCUAUACCUCAUACCCAAAGUAUCAUACUAUGAAUCGCGAAAGCUAGAACCUAAACGUGGAUUUGAUACCCACCUAUCUCUAGCCAUAAAUAAACUCACCGGGGUACUAUGGCCACAUGGUUAAAACCUAAAGAUCUUGGCGGUGCUUUAACCUCCCAGGGGAACCUGUCCGAUAAUCGAUAAUCCACGAAGACCCGACCUUCUCUUGAACCAGCCUGUGUAUUGCCGCCGUCAGCUUACACCGCAAGAGUAAUUUCUAGUAAGCCAAAGGGUCUCAACCUCCAAAAUGUCAGGUCAAAAUAUAGCUAAUGAGAAGGACGUGAUGGGUUACUUUCAAAUAAAGUCUCUUAUUAUCUUUAUGAAAUAUAACAUAAUAAGGAGGACUUGGAAGUACAAAGGGGAAAAAAAGCCCUUUAGAAUAGGCCACCUUUAGCGCGUACAAAUCGCCCGUCGCCCUCGUCGAAAGAUGAGGUAAGUCGUAACAUAGUAGGCGUAACGGAAGUUGCGCCUAAAAAAUA